UACGUAGGUGGCAAGCGUUAUCCGGAUUUAUUGGGUGUAAAGGGCGUGUAGGCGGGAAAGCAAGUCAGAUGUGAAAACUCAGGGCUCAACCCUGAGCCUGCAUUUGAAACUGUUUUUCUUGAGUGCUGGAGAGGCAAUCGGAAUUCCGUGUGUAGCGGUGAAAUGCGUAGAUAUACGGAGGAACACCGGUGGCGAAAGCGGCUCUCUGGCCUGUAACUGACACUGAGGUUCGAAAGCGUGGGUAGCAAACAGG
rnacentral:rRNA from 1 species